rnacentral:rRNA from 1 species
UACAUGUGGGGCAAGCGUUGUUCGGAAUUACUGGGCAUAAAGGGUGCGUAGGCGGCUUGUUAAGUCAGGGGUGAAAGUUUUCGGCCCAACCGGAAAAUUGCCUUUGAUACUGGCGAGCUCGAGUGCGUGAGGGGUAACCGGAACGAGCAGUGUAGCGGUGAAAUGCGUAGAGAUCGGAAGGAACACCAAUGGCGAAGGCAGCUUGCUGGGCCACACCUGACACUGAGGUACGAAAGCGUGGGGAGCAAACAGG